rnacentral:rRNA from 1 species
GACGAACGCUGGCGGCGUGCUUAACACAUGCAAGUCGAACGGAAAGGCCCUGCUUUUGUGGGGUGCUCGAGUGGCGAACGGGGGAGUAACACGUGAGUAACAUGCCCUUGAAUUUGGGAUAACUUCUGGAAACUGGGGAUAAUACCGGAUAGGAGCUCCUGCUGCAUGGUGGGGGUUGGAAAGUUUCGGCGGUUGGGGAUGGACUCGCGGGUUAUGAGCUGGAUGGGGGGGUAGUGGUUGACCAAGGCUUUGACGGGUAGCCGGCCUGAGAGGGUGACCGGCCACAUUGGGACUGAGAUACGGCCCAGACGCCUACGGGAGGCAGCAGUGGGGAAUAUUGCACAAUGGGCGGAAGCCUGAUGCAGCAACGCCGCGUGCGGGAUGACGGCCUUCGGGUUGUAAACCGCUUUCGCCUGUGACGAAGCGUGAGUGACGGUAAUGGGUAAAGAAGCACCGGCUAACUACGUG